AUGUGGAUUGCUGAAGGCUUU
rnacentral:miRNA from 1 species